CCUACGGGAGGCAGCAGUAGGGAAUCUUCCGCAAUGGACGAAAGUCUGACGGAGCAACGCCGCGUGAGUGAAGAAGGUUUUCGGAUCGUAAAACUCUGUUGUCAGGGAAGAACAAGUAUGGGAGUAACUGCCCGUACCUUGACGGUACCUGGCCAGAAAGCCACGGCUAACUACGUGCCAGCAGCCGCGGUAAUACGUAGGUGGCAAGCGUUGUCCGGAAUUAUUGGGCGUAAAGCGCGCGCAGGCGGCCUUUUAAGUCUGAUGUGAAAGCCCCCGGCUCAACCGGGGAGGGUCAUUGGAAACUGGAAGACUUGAGUGCAGAAGAGAAGAGCGGAAUUCCACGUGUAGCGGUGAAAUGCGUAGAGAUGUGGAGGAACACCAGUGGCGAAGGCGGCUCUUUGGUCUGUAACUGACGCUGAGGCGCGAAAGCGUGGGGAGCAAACAGGAUUAGAUACCCUGGUAGUCCACGCCGUAAACGAUGAGUGCUAAGUGUUGGGGGGUUUUACCGCCCCGUUCAGUGCUGCAGCUAACGCAUUAAGACACUCCGCCGUCGGGGUAGGUACGGCCGGCCGAACGGCGUGAAACGUACGAAACGGAAAGUUAGACGGCGUGAGACGUGACCGAACGGACGACGACGAGGGAGGAGG
rnacentral:rRNA from 1 species